rnacentral:rRNA from 1 species
UACGGAGGGUGCAAGCGUUAUCCGGAUUUACUGGGUUUAAAGGGUGCGUAGGUGGGUCUGUAAGUCAGUGGUGAAAUCUUCGAGCUUAACUCGGAAACUGCCAUUGAUACUAUAGGUCUUGAAUCAUCUGGAGGUGAGCGGAAUAUGUCAUGUAGCGGUGAAAUGCUUAGAUAUGACAUAGAACACCGAUUGCGAAGGCAGCUUGCUACACGGUCAUUGACACUGAGGCACGAAAGCGUGGGGAGCAAACAGG